UCGGGAAUUUUGGGCAAUGGGCGAAAGCCUGACCCAGCAACGCCGCGUGAGGGAUGAAGUAUUUCGGUAUGUAAACCUCGAAAGAACGGGAAGAUAAAUGACGGUACCAUUUAUAAGCUCCGGCUAAAUACGUUCCAAGAGCCGCGGUAAUACGUAGGGGGCAAGCGUUGUUCGGAUUUACUGGGGGGAAAGGGGGCGUAGGCGGCGCGGUAAGUCACUUGUGAAAUCUCUGAGCUUAACUCAGAACGGCCAAGUGAUACUGCUGUGCUAGAGUGCGGAAGAGGCAACCGGAAUUCUUGGUGUAGCGGUGAAAUGCGUAGAUAUCAAGAGGAACACCUGAGGCGAAGGCGGGUUGCUGGGCCGACACUGACGCUGAUGCGCGAAAGCCAGGGGAGCAAACG
rnacentral:rRNA from 1 species